GUUACGUCAAGCUGCAGUACUUAAACUCAUACUGCUAUCAAUAGGUCAAACCUGUUCCUUCUUGUCAAGCGACAACUACAGAGCUUUAUAAGCACCGAGGAAGAAGAAAAACUGAACCUUUAAAACUCUCUUCUCUUUUUACGGAGCAUUACCUACCACUAUGGAAAUGGGUAGCCACGAUCUUGCUUUCGAUCACUGCGCGUAUGAGUUGCGUCAACUUGGUGAUGGACUCUACUGGAAAUACAAACUGCUGGAAAUACUGAUCAAGAACUACAAGACUGUCACUAAAAUCAAGUGAGACAUGACGUCAAAGCACAAAAAGAGGAAUUGGAUUUUUGCUAAACUGGAAGGCAAUCAAAGCCAAAGCAGAAGAGUCCUGGACACAGACUCGUCACAGCAAAAUGGUGGCUCUCAAGUGAGAUUUAAGCUUAUGGAAACACCCUGAUGGAGAUAUUCGAUGUGAACUGUCAGUGGACUGCUGCCAUAUUCAAGACUGGAGCUCUGCAGAGAAAGCCAAUGAGUGGGAUGCUAUUGAUCCACCGAUUCGGACCCAUGGAUGACUGGAACCAAAGGGGAACAUCUGAAUGGACGUUAUCUGCUGAAAGAUGCUGAUUGUCACAUGUAUUAUGUACAUACUACUGUAUAUGUGGACAUUUAUGCAUAUUAUGCUCUAUAAACCUGUCUCAUUUACAUCAAUGGAGAUUUGUAGACUUGGAAGAAUUGUGAUUAAGUGUAUUAACUUUUCAAAAAUGUCUUUCUACGGGGAAGUGUUUCAAGAAUUGCUAAUUAAAGAUAUAUAUAUAUUCAAUAAA